rnacentral:rRNA from 1 species
ACAGCAGUAGCCGCGGUAAUACGUAGGUGGCAAGCGUUGUCCGGAAUUAUUGGGCGUAAAGGGCUCGCAGGCGGUUUCUUAAGUCUGAUGUGAAAGCCCCCGGCUCAACCGGGGAGGGUCAUUGGAAACUGGGAAACUUGAGUGCAGAAGAGGAGAGUGGAAUUCCACGUGUAGCGGUGAAAUGCGUAGAGAUGUGGAGGAACACCAGUGGCGAAGGCGACUCUCUGGUCUGUAACUGACGCUGAGGAGCGAAAGCGUGGGGAGCGAACAGGAUUAGAUACCCCUGUAGUCCCUGUCUCUUAUAA